rnacentral:rRNA from 1 species
GAUGAACGCUGGCGGCGUGCCUAAUACAUGCAAGUCGAGCGAACGGACGAGAAGCUUGUUUCUCUGGUGUUAGCGGCGGACGGGAGAGUAACACGUGGAUAACCUCCCUAUAAGACUGGGAUAACUUCGGGAAACCGGAGCUAACACCGGAUGAUAUUUUGAACCGCAUGGUUCAAAAGUGAAAGACGGUCUUGCUGUCACUUAUAGAUGGAUCCGCGCUGCAUUAGCUAGUUGGUAAGGUAACGGCUUACCAAGGCAACGAUGCAUAGCCGACCUGAGAGGGUGAUCGCCCACACUGGAGCUGAGACAGCGUCCAUGCUCCUACGGGACGCAGCAGUAGGCAAUCUGCCGCAGUGGGCGAAAGCCUGACACAGUGAGGCCGCGUGUGAGAUAAAGGUCUUGGGAUCGUAAAACUCUGUUAUUGGGGGAGAACAUAUGUAUAAUGUGCUGUGCCGAGCGUGACGGUAACGAAUAAGAAAGCAACGGCUAACUACGUG